GAUGAACGCUGGCGGCGUGCUUAACACAUGCAAGUCGAACGGAAAGGCCCAAGCUUGCUUGGGUACUCGAGUGGCGAACGGGUGAGUAACACGUGGGUGAUCUGCCCUGCACUUCGGGAUAAGCCUGGGAAACUGGGUCUAAUACCGGAUAGGACCACAUUUUGGAUGGUGUGGUGGAAAGUUUUUCGGUGUGGGAUGAGCUCGCGGCCUAUCAGCUUGUUGGUGGGGUAAUGGCCUACCAAGGCGUCGACGGGUAGCCGGCCUGAGAGGGUGUACGGCCACAUUGGGACUGAGAGACGGCCCAGACUCCUACGGGGGGCAGCGGUGGGGAAUAUUGCACAAUGGGCGCAAGCCUGAUGCAGCGACGCCGCGUGGGGGAUGACGGCCUUCGGGUUGUAAACUCCUUUCGCUAGGGACGAAGCGCAAGUGACGGUACCUGGAGAAGAAGCACCGGCUAACUACGUG
rnacentral:rRNA from 1 species